rnacentral:rRNA from 1 species
AUUGAACGCUGGCGGCAUGCCUUACACAUGCAAGUCGAACGGCGGCACGGGUGCUUGCACCUGGUGGCGAGUGGCGAACGGGUGAGUAAUACAUCGGAACGUACCUUAUCGUGGGGGAUAACGCAGCGAAAGCUGUGCUAAUACCGCAUACGCCCUGAGGGGGAAAGCGGGGGAUCGAAAGACCUCGCGCGACUAGAGCGGCCGAUGCCUGAUUAGCUUGUUGGUGGGGUAAAAGCCCACCAAGGCGACGAUCAGUAGCUGGUCUGCGAGGACGAUCAGCCACACUGGGACUGGGACACGGCCCAGACUCCUACGGGAGGCAGCAGUGGGGAAUUUUGGACAAUGGGGGCAACCCUGAUCCAGCAAUGCCGCGUGAGUGAAGAAGGCCUUCGGGUUGUAAAGCUCUUUUGUCAGGGAAGAAACACCGGCUCUAACACAGUCCGGGAAUGACGGUACCUGAAGAAUAAGCACCGGCUAACUACGUGCCAGCCGCCGCAGUAA